CCGACCCUCCCGAGCGGGCGCGGGGCGGGGGGGGAAGAGGGGUUGGCCGUUGGAGGGGUGUGUGCGCGCGCGCGUUCCCGAGCCGGCGGCAUCUCCCGUCCCCUCCCCUUCUCUCCCCUCAGUCCUGCUCGGCAGCCGCGGCGGGUGCCGCUGUCUCUGCUUCUUCCUCCUCCUUCUCUUCUCGUUCUCCCCCCCCCAGGGCACGAUGCAGUUUAUGUUGCUUUUUAGUCGCCAGGGGAAACUGAGACUCCAGAAGUGGUAUGUCCCAUUAUCUGACAAAGAAAAGAAGAAAAUCACAAGGGAACUUGUUCAGACGGUGUUAGCCCGCAAACCGAAAAUGUGCAGCUUCCUGGAAUGGAGAGACCUGAAGAUUGUCUACAAAAGAUAUGCAAGCCUCUAUUUCUGCUGUGCUAUUGAAGAUCAAGACAACGAGCUAAUAACUCUGGAAAUAAUUCAUCGCUAUGUAGAGCUUCUUGACAAGUAUUUUGGCAGUGUAUGUGAACUUGAUAUCAUCUUCAAUUUUGAAAAAGCCUAUUUCAUUCUGGAUGAGUUCCUUUUAGGAGGGGAAGUUCAGGAGACUUCCAAGAAAAAUGUUCUCAAAGCCAUUGAACAGGCAGAUCUUUUACAGGAGAGCCAGAAUGAAGACUGGGGAGGUUUGUCUGAGGAUAUCUUAUGAUUAAGAGCACUCUAGGGCAUUAGCCCUUUUGACCCCCAUCUAAAUGAUUGAAAAUGGGCCCUAAAAAGACUGGGUGCUGCUGCAAUUGACUGUAUAUCAAGUGCCGGAUGCUGCAUGACAGAACAAAGCUUAUUUGCAUAUAUAGUGCAUUGCAACAUAUUUUUUGUCCAGAGCAUAAGCGGAAUACAUUGUGGCAGUCCUACUAAUAAAGCCACGUCAUGAAUACUUUAAUGUCCCAGUGUACUAAAUGGCUUCAUUCAUCAUGCAUGCAGAAUUUCAGAGGAGAUAGACCUGUGACUUACUCAUGACAGAACAUUAUCAUCAGCUUGGUGAAUCCAGUCAUCUUGAAUCUAACAGAAUGCCACAACCAUUCUCCGCUGUUGUACUUUCCUCUUCCCCCUCUGUUUUACAGUGUUGUCUCUUCACAUGUCUCAUUUCAACAGAACUUGUGCUUGUUGGCAUAUGGUUUUAACUUUUUUAUUGUGUGUAAGCUUGAAGUCUUUUGCUUAAAAGUUCUGUAGAAUUUUCCGAGCUAAACAUCUAUAUACUGCAACACUUAUACUGUAACAUUACUUGACCUGUGUUUAUCUUGCAAAUAAGUUGUGGUGGUAUUUAAACAUACACUUAAAACCUGUAGAUUAAGUUAAUAUUUACAGAGAAACUAGUGAAGGAGCAGUAGUAUGCGAACUGUGUAUACACACAAGUAUUAAAUGACGUUACACAGAAUUCUACACAGACCUUGCAUCUUAAUUCAAGAUGCGCACAGCAAUAUAAUUUUAUGAAACCUCCUUAUGAAGAGGAGGAAGGCAGAAUCGAUAUGGGCAGAAAGAAUGACAGGUAAAUCCGAAGUUGCAAAAUUUGUAUUUAAUUGUUCAAACAUUUUUGUGAGUAGUUGAAAAAUUGCUGCUAUUGAAGGAGAGAACAAGCUCAUUGCUUUACAAAUGGCUAGGGUUGGAAAGAUUUUUUUUUUUUUUUUUUUUAAGUCCAUUAACAGCAUACUUGAAAAAUGUCACCUUCAAUUGGCAUUUCCAGUUUUAAGUGCAGACUACCUUGUAUAUCAGAGAACUGCCACAAGGAUGAAUAUAAGUGCCAUUCAAUUAAAAAGUAAAGGCAGAGAGAGAGGGCAUGUAUUGAAUCCUUUGUUUGCCUAGAAGAGGAGAAGAAUUUGUAACCUAAAACCAGUGCUGGUUUUGAAAAUUGUUUAAAUGUAAUUAGCAAGGAGGUUAACCACAAACAGCUAGUUGCAUGUACUAUAUGUGGUAAUGCACUACCUUUCAAAUAUUAAACUGACAGAAAAAUGGGAGAUUUAGGGGAUUAGACAAAAGAUCUGGACUAGACUUGCAGCAUUCAGAAAUCUUAGGAAACAAGAUCAUAGGAGUGGCUUUCCACUUCCAAGUUUGCCUUUUUUCUGUAAGACAUUAACAAUGUGUUUGAAUGUCUGGUUAAUGCUGCUUUAGCCUGCAUUAUUUCAUGCCUGUUGGCUUAAAAUGCUGUGCAUUGAGCUGUAAUGAGAUGCUGUUUUUCUUGUUAUCUGUAUACAGCUGCUUGCUUCUAAAUGACUAGGUAAUGAAUUAGCUUUCCUGGCAUGUUUGAAAUAAAGUAUUGCAUGCACUUUUGUCUCAUGUGGAUGACUUUUUUUCCUCAUCUGUGUUCUGAUAUAUUUCAAAUUUGCAUUGUUUGCCUGGGGUGAUUCUGAGCUGCAGGUAGUGUAUAAUACCAGAGAAUGCUUUCCAUAACAAUUGGCUAAAAUGUUUGACACUUCCUAAAAAAAAUAACGUGAACAAAACAUAAGUCAUUCUACUUGUUUCUUAAAAGUCAUAAUUGAUGAAAUUAUUCCUCUAACAAAACACAUGAGCCUUCAGGUGUUCCUUGAGAUUGUAUUGUUGCUGUGCGAAUAAGAAGGCAUGUCUGCCUCAAGUUUACUGCUGUAGUAGUAAAAAAUUAAAGUCUUACCGAGUUUUACUGGUGAGAGAUCUGGGGGCAAGUAGCCAAUGUCCUUGAAAUACAUUGUUUUAAAUUAGUUGUUAGCCAAUUACCUUGAUUUUCUUGAAGAAAUUUAACCUUUAAGUAUAUGCCUGGUGAAUAUUACCCACAACUUUGAAUUGACAGUGGGGCCAAUAAUACUGAACUGCUCUAAAGAUAGUAGCAGCAGUGCACUGUGUUUCUUCAUAGCUAUAGAGCAACUUUUCAGGUCAUUCAGUAAAUACUCUGUUUUACCACUGAGUAACUGUAAGUAUCCACUGCUGUC